rnacentral:rRNA from 1 species
CCUACGGGUGGCAGCAGUGAGGAAUAUUGGUCAAUGGACGAGAGUCUGAACCAGCCAAGUAGCGUGAAGGAUGACUGCCCUAUGGGUUGUAAACUUCUUUUAUAUGAGAAUAAAAUGUUCCACGUGUGGGGUUUUGUAUGUACCAUAUGAAUAAGGAUCGGCUAACUCCGUGCCAGCAGCCGCGGUAAUACGGAGGAUCCGAGCGUUAUCCGGAUUUAUUGGGUUUAAAGGGAGCGUAGGUGGAUUGUUAAGUCAGUUGUGAAAGUUUGCGGCUCAACCGUAGAAUUGCAGUUGAAACUGGCAGUCUUGAGUACAGUAGAGGUGGGCGGAAUUCGUGGUGUAGCGGUGAAAUGCAUAGAGAUCACGAAGAACUCCGAUUGCGAAGGCAGUUCACUGGACUGCAACUGACACUGAGGCUCGAAAGUGUGGGGAUCAAACAGGAUUAGAUACCCUAGUAGUC